rnacentral:tRNA from 2 species
CGUCGCCCUGGACGGCCUGCGUCGCGCCGCCGCCUGGCUCGCGGCGCUGCUCGUCGUCGUGACGGCGGGAGCGGUCGUCCCGCUCGGCGUCUC